rnacentral:rRNA from 1 species
UACGUAGGGUGCAAGCGUUAAUCGGAAUUACUGGGCGUAAAGCGUGCGCAGGCGGUUAUGCAAGACAGAUGUGAAAUCCCCGGGCUUAACCUGGGAACUGCAUUUGUGACUGCAUAGCUGGAGUGCGGCAGAGGGGGAUGGAAUUCCGCGUGUAGCAGUGAAGUGCGUAGAUAUGCGGAGGAACACCGAUGGCGAAGGCAAUCCCCUGGGCCUGCACUGACGCUCAUGCACGAAAGCGUGGGGAGCAAACAGG